rnacentral:misc_RNA from 1 species
AUGGAGGUGGAUCUUUCAAAACCUUAUCCACUUGCUCUGUACCUUUGAUCUCUUCAACAGACUCUCUCACUGUCUGUCCCCCCUCAUCACUAGCAUUGGCCGCCUGCAUUACGCAUUCUGAUGUAUCCCAACGUUCAGAAGAAUGGUUUGCACUGAGGAGGGACAAACUGACCACAAGCACCUUUAGUACUGCCUUGGGUUUUUGGAAGGG